UACCGCUCGGUGUGGCCGUAGUGACGGUGGCGCCGCCACUGCUUGGACGCGUUACGGUAGGAUUUGCCGUUUGUGCCCUGAGGCGGCGGCUGCCCUUGCGGCCUCGUGGCGCUAAUGCGGCAUUAGUGAUACUUAGAGCUCGCCUCUUUAGGUGGCGUCUCCUCUCUCCCCUUUUACGUCCCUCCUUACAGUCGCGCCCCUCCUCGUAAUGGAAGUUCGACGCCCGUGAGGCCGCAUCUGAGAGACCAGGCCGCUCGGAGUGGCUGCCGGCGCUUACGGCAGCUGAGAAGGCGGAGGCGGCGGAGGAGGAGGAUAGCCGAAGAGGAGGUUAGCUUACUUGACGACGCCUACCACCCAACCCACUCAUCUCUUCACCCCCCUCAUUUACCUUGGCGCGUGCUACCCCCACACUUCAUACGGCACGAUCUGCGGACAGUAGGAGUUACCACCGUCAAGGGCCUCAGGAGUUGCCUCCGUCAAGGUCGAGUCUGGAGCUGCCGUCGCGGGCAUCUGGAGUUCGCCUAGGACGGCGAGUGGGGCGUGCCACGACACGAGGUGCUGUUCGGCUGCGCGGCGAGACACGGAAGACGGUACACGCCAGGACUAGACUGGCGGUGCCCGGGGCGCACCGUUAGUCCGGAGCGACCGCGCGCCUAGGCCGGCAACGGAAGGGACGACACGCGGUGAGGGGCGGCCAGCGACGUAGGGGGAUGUCUCAGUCUCGUGCUGACGCGGAGGGGAACAGAGGGCGACCGCCAGCGUGAGGAAGGUCCGAGGCCGAAGGCCGCGUGCGGCGACGCCCGGCCAAGCCGCUUCUCGCCCGGCUGCUCUCGCGGACCCUCCCACAGCGCCUCCGUAGUUUCGUCAUCGAAGAGUUGGCGCCCCUCUGUAGAGCUGCCGCUGGAGCUAAACGAUCGUACAGGCUCGUCCUCCCAGGACCUGUAGGGACGUUCGACCGAGUAGGUCGACCAACAGAAGGAGCCGCUCGCGCGGUAGAGGUACCAGGAAGCCCGCGCCGCGAGCAGUCGCUUGACGAGUGGUAGGGACGCCGGUACCGCAGGGAGCGGGUCGUGCCGCGAGCAUCCGCUCGAUGCGCGACAGGGACUCCGGCGUCGAAGGCAGCGGGCCGCUCCGCGAGCACCCGCUCGACACCCGGGAGGGAGGAGCCGCCAGUGGAAGCACCGGGUCAAACGGCGCAAACGGCGCAGGGACUCGAAGCAGGGUGUGUAAUUCAACCGAAGACAACAACCUUCUUCUGAACUAAAGCCGGACAGUAGCACGGAUGCCUACCAACGUCACUCCGUAAACUCCGACCCGCGGGAUAGAAGUAUGGUUACCCACUAACUUCACUCCGUAAACUCCAACCCACAGGACAGUAGCACGGUCACCCACCAACAUGAUUCUGUAACACCCGACCCACAGGUCAGUAGCAUGGUUGCCUACCGACGUAACUCCGACCCACAGGACAGUAGCAUGGUUACCUACCGACGUGACUCCGUAAACCUCGACCCACAGGAGAGUAGCUAACCCUCUUCUGUCAACCCAGUCUCUUUUUCCUUCUUGCGUUACCUUUGUUCUACCGAAUGUAAACCCCCUAGAUUAAGGAGUAACCAAGGCCGUUCUUAACCACUUCUUCGGUAGUUUCUUUCAGGCCUCGCCUGCUAAAAUUAAUUCUCUGCCUCGCCGGCCAAAACAAACUAACGACCCAAAAAUUCCCUUUUCCUCCCGUCGUCGCCCCCGGCAACCUACUCGCGCCUCGCGCCUCGUGCCUACCCUCGUAAGAGCCCCUCGUCCGUUCGGGGCACGCAAGCCCUCUCCUAACCUCCAACGCAGUAACAUCCAAAAAAAAGACCCUAGCUAACAUACAACGCCCUAUUCACGCCUCCGCCUACU
rnacentral:rRNA from 1 species